GCUAUCUGCAAAUCGGGCGGGGUUCGAACCUGCCGCAGGUUCGGGUCGACGCAGUGAGACAGCGUUGCGCCAGCAACGACCCGAAGGGCGAGGCGAAGCCGAGUCAUCCUGCACGACCCACCA
rnacentral:sRNA from 1 species